rnacentral:rRNA from 1 species
UUGGGCGUAAGGGCUCGUAGGUGGUUGAUCGCGUCGGAAGUGUAAUCUUGGGGCUUAACCCUGAGCGUGCUUUCGAUACGGGUUGACUUGAGGAAGGUAGGGGAGAAUGGAAUUCCUGGUGGAGCGGUGGAAUGCGCAGAUAUCAGGAGGAACACCAGUGGCGAAGGCGGUUCUCUGGGCCUUUCCUGACGCUGAGGAGCGAAAGCGUGGGGAGCGAACAGGCUUAGAUACCCUGGUAGUCCACGCUGUAAACGGUGGGUACUAGGUGUGGGGUCCAUUCCACGGGUUCCGUGCCGUAGCUAACGCUUUAAGUACCCCGCCUGGGGAGUACGGCCGCAAGGCUUAAACUCAAAGGAAUUGACGGGGCCCCGCACAAGCGGCGGAGCAUGCGGAUUAAUUCGAUGCAACGCGUAGAACCUUACCUGGGUUUGACAUGGAUCGGGAGUGCUCAGAGAUGGGUGUGCCUCUUUUGGGGUCGGUUCACAGGUGGUGCAUGGCUGUCGUCAGCUCGUGUCGUGAGAUGUUGGGUUAAGUCCCGCAACGAGCGCAACCCUUGUUCACUGUUGCCAGCACGUUAUGGUGGGGACUCAGUGGAGACCGCCGGGGUCAACUCGGAGGAAGGUGGGGAUGACGUCAAGUCAUCAUGCCCCUUAUGUCCAGGGCUUCACGCAUGCUACAAUGGCUGGUACAGAGAGUGGCGAGCCUGUGAGGGUGAGCGAAUCUCGGAAAGCCGGUCUCAGUUCGGAUUGGGGUCUGCAACUCGACCUCAUGAAGUC